rnacentral:tRNA from 1 species
CAUGAUCUAGCUCAGUUGGUAGAGUAUUUGCCUUGCAUGCAAAAGGCCUUCGGUUCAAUACCCAGCAUCACAA